ensembl:lncRNA
CUGCUAUUCUCAUAUUGUCAGUUCAGUUCCUACAGGAGAUACCCAUCCCCAGUUUUUGUCCCUUCUCUUUUCUCAGAAGGAAACCAGGUCAUUUGAAGCUAUCUUCCUUUGUGAAACAAGUCACUCCGUUUUCUUUUCUCUCUUUGAAGUUGGACAUACGGUAGUGCAUGCGGAGAGACUGGGCACAGAUGGGCACCUUUUCUACAGGGAGCUGUGCAGAUCUCAAGUGGGCAGGACAGUUUCAAGGCAGACCUAUGAAGCUGUGGUUUCCAUUGACCCAGGAUAUUCUGUGUGCACGGCUUUUAUGACUGUUGUUUAUCAGCAGUCUGAGAAGAAAAAAAAAAAAAAUAAAUAAAAGAAAACUCACAGAAGAAAACAUUGGCUCAUUUUGCAAGGAUUAAUGGUGCCUACUGUACUGCACGCAUCCUCCUCCUGCCUUGGCUCUCUGCACUGCAGCCUGCUGAG